ACAUACCGGAUGAAAAUGUUAGGCUCACAUGAGGGUUAAAAGUUCCGAGUGCAAGCUAACUAGCGGUAUUAUAGCGUUUUUAAUAAGAAUUGGAAGUUGAAAAGGUUUGAAACAUCAGAGAUAGUGGACUAUUUCGCAUAUUUAUUUCUGAAAUUUGAAAAAGUUUACAAUCCUAAAAAUGAUGACCGCGUUAUAUUCCAAAAUAUUCAAUCUAACACACAAGUAAAAUUGGGAUGGCUUAUCUUUAAGUACAAAUGGGUUAUUCUAUCUUCGACAACUUUAUAAUUAAGUGUUUCACUAAUAAUAGCUAUUCGAUAAGUGACUUGGCAUAAGUACGUAAAGAUAGUAGGUUAUUAAUCUUUUGCUUUAUGAAUACGCAAAUAGUUAUCUAUAAGUAGGUCGAAAUCUAUCAGUCAUUGUAUUUAAUUAAUUAAUUAUUUUGAGUGUUAGGUUAAUUCCUUUUUGAGUGUUUUCGCUACUAAUCGGCGAUCACUCUUUGUUCGCAUAUUUUGACGCUGCCUGUGUGCAGCAAGUAUACAUAAUUUGAAUUCAGUUACCAAUAAACCUCUGCGCUGUAAACACG